GUCUCAGCCUGGUUCUUCCUUGUUCCUCGUCCUCUGAGGUAGCAACUGCCUCAUCUUUUCCAUCUAUGGAGUGUGGAAUAUGUGCCCUACUUCAUUCAGGAAUGUUGGACAAACCAGCUAUUUAGAGAGUGAAGGAGAGGAACUUCCGAGAGCAACCGGCCCCCAAGAGAAACCCAGGGACUCCUGCCCUUCGGCAGCUUUGUCCAUGUGCUGCUCACACCAAAAAGCACUCGAGGGUGACCUGCACCAAAAAUGCAUUGCCGUAGUCUGGGCACAGUGGAUCACGCCUGUAAUCCCAGCUCUUUGGGAGGCCAAGGCACUGUGCUAAGUUGGACUUACAGAGAUGAAUAAGAUUUGGCCACAUCUUCAAGGAGCUCAGACCUUCAUGGACGUACCAAAUAUAUACAGAACUAACUCUACUGCUUAUCAUAAUGAGAGCUGUGCUAUGGAUAUUUGAAAGUUAGAGAGAUUUAUUUUCAACAGAAUAAUAAAGUCAACUUUCACAAA
rnacentral:lncRNA from 1 species